rnacentral:rRNA from 1 species
AUUGAACGCUGGCGGCAGGCCUAACACGUGCAAGUCGAGCGGAUGAAGGGAGCUUGCUCCUGGAUUCAGCGGCGGACGGGUGAGUAAUGCCUAGGAAUCUGCCUGGUAGUGGGGGAUAACGUCCGGAAACGGGCGCUAAUACCGCAUACGUCCUGAGGGAGAAAGUGGGGGAUCUUCGGACCUCACGCUAUCAGAUGAGCCUAGGUCGGAUUAGCUAGUUGGUGGGGUAAAGGCCUACCAAGGCGACGAUCCGUAACUGGUCUGAGAGGAUGAUCAGUCACACUGGAACUGAGACACGGUCCAGACUCCUACGGGAGGCAGCAGUGGGGAAUAUUGGACAAUGGGCGAAAGCCUGAUCCAGCCAUGCCGCGUGUGUGAAGAAGGUCUUCGGAUUGUAAAGCACUUUAAGUUGGGAGGAAGAGCAGUAAGUUAAUACCUUGCUGUUUUGACGUUACCAACAGAAUAAGCACCGGCUAACUUCGUG